rnacentral:rRNA from 1 species
UACGGAGGGUGCGAGCGUUGCUCGGAAUCAUUGGGCGUAAAGCGUACGCAGGCGGCCGUUCAAGUCGGGUGUGAAAGCCCAGGGCUCAACCCUGGAAAUGCGCCCGAGACUGGAUGGCUUGAGUGCGGGAGAGGGAAGCGGAAUUCCUGGUGUAGCGGUGAAAUGCGUAGAUAUCAAGAGGAACACCUGAGGUGAAGACGGGUUGCUGGGCCAACACUGACGCUGAUGCGCGAAAGCCAGGGGAGCAAACGGG